GCCCGCCUAGCUCAAUCGGAUAGAGCGUCAGACUUUUAAACCUUAACUAAGCAAGUUAGCGAGGGAAUCAGCAUAUACUUGAUCAAAUCUGAAGGCUGCGAGUUCGACCCUCGCGGUGGGCU